rnacentral:sRNA from 1 species
AGUAAUGCGAUUUUCCGAAGACAGUAGGUGCGUUUAUGCUUAAUUUCCUACUUAGGAAAAUGCUGAUUCGGAAAUGUUUUCAGCUUUUUCUUGUUCUUUUGGAACUUCGAAAAGCUGAUUUUUUGUUUG